UCUACGGCGAGUCUGUAUCCAUCAUAUCUACAACUCGGAGCAUUUUAUGUCCUGAUGUUUGUGAUAAGGCUAUAAAGAGAAAACAUGUUUAUGGACAAGAGCUGGUAGAAGGCCAACACUAAACGUUUGUUAUCCUCUACAGUCGCAGAAGGGGAGACGAAGGAAAGACAGAAGAAAUCAUAGACAGUAGAAGAACGUACAUACACAUAUUAACACGGAUUUAUCCCUAUCUACAUUUCACAUGAGGAAAGACGGCGAAAGGGAGGGAGUAGGAAAGCAUAUGCGUAAGCUGUUUUUACUGUCGGUGAAAAUACGAACGGAGGGGAGAGAGAAGUGGAGGUAUGCGUAGCCCUGUCUUCCCUAGACUAGCAUGAGGACUGCAUAUGUCCAGUAAUCAGCUAAUGUUAUAAUGUCGCAAAAGAAAUUCACGAACGCCAAGAUUGUCAUCUUUGGAGCUUCCGGCGUUGGCAAAACAGCAUUCGCAGUCCGCUACAUCACCAGACGGUACAUUGGCGACUAUGACCGAAAUAAAGAAAUGCUCUAUACGUACAAGAUGACGUCACCAAGGGAUGAGGUCGUCACCCUGGAGAUUCUGGACACCGCACCAGAGUGCAGCCCGGAUGAUACAGAAAAGAACCUGAAAUGGGCGGACGGGUAUGUGAUGAUGUAUUCAGUGACUGACACACCCAGCUUUCACGAAGUGAAACGUUUCAAGGACAUUUUAUUCCGUCUGAAAGGGAACGAAAGACCUAUGGUCCUAAUUGCAAACAAACUUGACCUGCGAGAUGCCCGGGCGGUGAGCGAAGCGGAAAGCACGUCGCUGGCUCAUUCACUUGAGUGUCCAUUGUUCGAACUUUCCGUGGCGGACGGAUAUCAAGGUGUGGCGGAUGCCAUGGAGGAACUCAUUGUUCAACUGCGGAGGGAUUUUGUGAAAUGUCAAAGUGCGGCUAAUGUUAGUAGCAAUGCAGACAAACCCCGUUCAAAGUUAUACAACAUGAAAAAAGUUCUGAAGAAAAGAAUUGGCCGGAGUCAUAGCGAUACAUUUUAAUUAAUGUAUUACAUUAUACAAUAUUUAGUGCAGCUGCAUUGACUAAAACGAUAUUCAGACCUACAUUAUAUGUCCUCACUUCCUACUUAACAAAGUUAACAAAGUACCUUAUAAUAUCUGUUCUCACUCCCUACCUGACCAUGGUAUAUACUUACCUUACAUUACUUGUACUCAAUAAACUCCCUACCUGACCAAGGUAUUUUGGCCUUACAUAACUGUAAUCACUCCCUACCUGACCACGUUAUCUUUCCGUUUCACUACAUGUACUCACUCCCUACCUGACCAGGGUAGCUUACCUAACAUUACCUGUACUCUCUCCCUACUUGAUCAAAUAAUAUUGGCCUUACAAUACGUGUACUCACUCCCUACUUGACCAGUGUAUCUUGUCUUACAUGUACAUUACCCGUACUCACUCCCUACUUGACCAAAUAAUAUUGGCCUUACAUUACCUGUACUCACUCCCUACCUGAUCAGGGUAGCUUACCUAACAUUACCUGUACUCACUCCCUACUUGAUCAAAUAAUAUUGGCUUUACAAUACGUGUACUCACUCCCUACUUGACCAGUGUAUCCUUGUCUUACAUGUACAUUACCCGUACUCACUCCCUACUUGACCAAAUAAUCUUGGCCUUAAAUACUUGUACUCACUCCCUACCUGACCAGGGUAGCUUACCUAACAUUACCUGUACUCAUUCCCUACUUGAUCAAAUAAUAUUGGCCUUACAAUACGUGUACUCACUCCCUACCUGACCAGUGUAUCAUUGUCUUACAUGUACAUUACCCGUACUCACUCCCUACCUGACCAAAUAAUCUUGGCCUUACAUUACAUGUACUCACUCCCUACCUGACCAGGGUAGCUUGCCUUACAUAACCUGUACUCACUCCCUACUUGAUCAAAUAAUAUUGGCCUUACAAUACGUGUACUCACUCCCUACUUGACCAAAGAAUAUUGGCCUUACAUUACUUGUACUCAAUCCCUACUUGAUCAAAGAAGCUUGGCCUUACAAUACCUGUACUUACUCCCUACCUGACCACGGUAUACUCCCCUUACAUUACAUGUACUCACUCCCUACCUGACCAGGGUAUCAUUGCCUUACAUGACCCGUACUCACUCCCCCUACCUGACCACGUUAUCUUUCCCUUACAUUACCUGACCAGGGUAUCCUUGCCUAAAAUUGCCUGUACUCACUCGUUAAUCAGACAUGUUCGCCAUGUACAUUGUGUAUGUCACUUCUUGGUGUAUAGCUGUUAUAAAAACGUGUUGACAAUCAACCAGAUUGAAUUAUAAUACACUGGUUUCUUUGUUACUAAGAAUCAAAGUAAAUUAUAGUUAAAUAAACUAUAUGACUGUUUAUUUCAUUAUCAUCCACUAUACACCAGUAUACCCUUUACAGUCCCGGAAGCGCACAGGGACACAUGUCGACAGUACCUGAUUUCCUCUUGUACAUAGGUUGACAGUACCGGAUGUUCCGAGGUACAUAGAUUGACAGUACCGAAUAUUCCAAGGUACGUAGGUUGACAGUACCGAAUGUUCCGAGGUACAUAGGUCGACACUACCGAAUGUUCCAAUGUACAUAGGUUGAUAGUACCGAAUGUUCCGAGGUACAUAGGGUGAUAGUACCGAAUGUUCCGAGGUACAUAUAUAGGUUGACACUACCGAAUGUUCCGAGGUACAUAGGUUGACACUAUCGAAUAUGCCUGGGUACAUAGGUUGACAGUACCGGUUGUUUCCUGAUACAUAGGUUGGCAGUACCGAAUAUUCCAAGGUACGUAGGUUGACAGUACCGAAUGUUCCGAGGUACAUAGGUUGACACUACCGAAUGUUCCAAUGUACAUAGGUUGAUAGUACCGAAUGUUCCGAGGUACAUAGGUUGACAGUACCGGAUGUUCCCGAUUACAUAGGUUGACAAUACCGGCUGUUACCGGGUACAUAGGUAAGGAGUACCGAGUGUGCCCGGAUACAUAGGUUGACAGUACCGGAUGUUCCAAGGUACAUAGGUUGACAGUACCGGCUGUUUCCGGGUACAUAGGUAAGGAGUACCGAGUGUGCCCGGAUACAUAGGUUGCCAGUACCGGAUGUUCCAAGGUACAUAGGUUGACAAUACCGGCUGUUUCCGGGUUCAUAGGUAAGGAGUACCGAGUGUGACCGGACACAUAGGUUGACAGUACCGGAUGUUCCAAGGUACAUAGGUUGACAGUACCGGAUGUUCCAAGGUACAUAUGUAACAAGGAUAUAUAUAUUUAUUGUGUGUAAGACUUUGAAUGGAUUUUAAUAUCAUGAAAGGUCUUGGUGUAAGGAACCUUAAAUGGUUGUUUGGUAGUAUAGUUGUGUGAUGAAAGAAUAUGGUGCGAGGACCCUUACUGCAUGUGUGUUACCUGUAUGUAAGAAUGUGUGGAAUGUGAGUACUUUUAGUCACAUGACAUCAACGGACAUUUUUAUUGGUCAUAGCUAACAACUGCAUGGUUUUUAACUUGACUAAUAUCACUCAGCACCUAGGCGUUGAAGGAUAUAGAUCUACUUUUUAUAUCAGGAGAAUUUGGAGUAUUACAAAUAUAAAGAACUGAGUUUUUAACCAUAUAUGUUUUAUUAUUAUCAUU